AUUGAACGCUGGCGGUAUGCUUAAGACAUGCAAGUCGAACGGAAUCCUUCGGGGUUCAGUGGCGGACGGGUGAGUAACACGUGGGAAUCUACUCAGUAGUGGGGGACAGCCCGGCGAAAGCCGGAUUAAUACCGCAUACGCCCUAUGGGGGAAAGGCGCAAGCCGCUAUUGAAUGAGCCCGCGUAAGAUUAGCUAGUUGGUGGGGUAAAGGCCUACCAAGGCGACGAUCUUUAGCUGGUCUGAGAGGAUGGCCAGCCACAUCGGGACUGAGACACGGCCCGGACACCUACGGGUGGCUG
rnacentral:rRNA from 1 species